AUUGAACGCUGGCGGCAGGCCUAACACAUGCAAGUCGAGCGGCAGCGCGGGGGCAACCCUGGCGGCGAGCGGCGAACGGGUGAGUAAUACAUGGGAAUCUGCCUGGUAGUGGGGAUAACUCUGGGAAACUAGAGGUAAUACCGCAUACGUCCUACGGGAGAAAGGGGGGAGUCUUCGGACCUCUCGCUAUCAGAGGAGCCCAUGUCCGAUUAGCUAGUUGGUGAGGUAAAGGCUCACCAAGGCGACGAUCGGUAACUGGUCUGAGAGGAUGGUCAGUCACACUGGAACUGAGACACGGUCCAGACUCCUACGGGAGGCAGCAGUGGGGAAUAUUGGACAAUGGGGGCAACCCUGAUCCAGCCAUGCCGCGUGUGUGAAGAAGGCCUUCGGUUGGUUAAAGACACUUUAAAGUUAGGGGAGGGAAGGGACGUCGUACGUGAAUAUCGUGCGGGAGGUGACGGUUAACCC
rnacentral:rRNA from 1 species